AUUGAACGCUGGCGGCAUGCUUUACACAUGCAAGUCGAACGGUAACAGGCCUUCGGGUGCUGACGAGUGGCGAACGGGUGAGUAAUGCAUCGGAACGUACCCAGAGGUGGGGGAUAACGCAGCGAAAGCUGUGCUAAUACCGCAUGUGAUCUGAGGAUGAAAGCGGGGGACCGAGCAGCAAUGUUUGGCCUCGCGCCUUUGGAGCGGCCGAUGUCGGAUUAGCUAGUUGGUGGGGUAAAGGCCUACCAAGGCGACGAUCCGUAGCUGGUCUGAGAGGACGACCAGCCACACUGGGACUGAGACACGGCCCAGACUCCUACGGGAGGCAGCAGUGGGGAAUCUUGGACAAUGGGCGCAAGCCUGAUCCAGCAAUGCCGCGUGCGGGAAGAAGGCCUUCGGGUUGUAAACCGCUUUUGGCAGGAACGAAACGGUGUCCGCUAAUACCGGGCGCUAAUGACGGUACCUGCAGAAUAAGCACCGGCUAACUACGUG
rnacentral:rRNA from 1 species